rnacentral:rRNA from 1 species
UUAUCGGAAUUACUGGGCGUAAAGCGUGCGCAGGCGGUUCUGUAAGAUAGAUGUGAAAUCCCCGGGCUCAACCUGGGAAUUGCAUAUAUGACUGCAGGACUUGAGUUUGUCAGAGGAGGGUGGAAUUCCACGUGUAGCAGUGAAAUGCGUAGAUAUCUGGAAGAACACCGAUGGCGAAGGCAGCCCUCUGGGACAUGACUGACGCUCAUGCACGAAAGCGUGGGGAGCAAACAGGAUUAGAUACCCUGGUAGUCCACGCCCUAAACGAUGUCUACUAGUUGUUGGGGACGAUAGUCCUUGGUAACGCAGCUAACGCGUGAAGUAGACCGCCUGGGGAGUACGGUCGCAAGAUUAAAACUCAA